GGGUGCCCCGACUCAGGCAGCCUUCCCUCGGCCGCGCGGGGCAGCUCCCGGGCGGCUCCACGGCCUUCUGCAGAACUCGGCGCAGGCGCCGGGCGGAGAGCUUAGCCGAGCCUCUGCGAGGUAAUUUUAACAAAACGUACAGAUUUGUUAGCAGAACUAGACUUAGAAAUGACAUGAGAGGAAGAACAAGAAAAAUCUGAUGGAGAUGAAAAUAACGAUUCACAGCACGCUUUGGAGCCGCAGUGUUGAGGCCAGACUUCCUGGGUUUGAACUCUGGGUCUGUUGGUGACCUGCUGUGGGCUUGGACACGGUCCUCAGUCUCUCUGUACCCCAUCUUUCCCCGUGUAGAGGACCUCAUGCAUUACCUGUCUUCGAGAAUCACUGUGAGGACCAAAAG